UUGGACCUUUAAGUCAGCAAAGGCAAUAGGAAUGAACACUUACUAUCCUGGUUUGUUAUUUUUACCACUGGGAGAUCCUGCUGUAGAGCUGGCUGGUCGCUGUUGGUUGAUGACUUCCAUCCGAUCGCUGCCGACCACUGACUGAGUUCCCAGAGGAUAAGACGGGGAACACGUCAUAUCCUACGCAAGCAGAAAGCUGAGCCCGGUGGAACGAAAGUACAGCGCAACAGAAAAGGAGUGUCUUGCGAUAUAUUGGGGGAUAAACAAGUACAAGAUGUAGUGACAGACCAAAUGGCUCUAAGUGGUUAAACUCGAUAGAAAAUGGCACGAUGGCACUGGUAUAGAAAAGGAAAGUUUAACGCAGUAGCGGAUGCGCUGUCCAGGAUCCCCAAUCCCCAGUUAAAAACAAUUGAGACGAAGAGCUGGUGGAAACAAAAGUACAGGGAAGUGGACAAUAACCAGGACAACGAAGAGUUCCGGAUAGAAGAAGGGAGGCUAUAUAAACAAAACACGGACCGAGGAGACCAGGAGGUCCAACAGGUGCUCGCGGAGAAACAUAACACAGCAGAAGCAGGACACCUGGGAACCUUUAAGACAUUGAGAAGGGUGAGUGACCGAUUCUUCUGGCCACUCUCGAGAGACGUCAAAAAAUUCGUAAAAGGGUGCCUGUGCUGUCAAAGAUACAAAGUUUCACAACAGAAAAGAGCAGGAAUAAUGCUUACGAAGAUUGCGAAAGCACCAUUCGAGACUACCGAUGAUCGCACAGCUUUCGCACAGACAUGGGACGAACAGGUAACAGAGCUAAUGUUAGCAUAUAAUACCAGCGCCUCAGAAUCGACGAAAAUACAGUCCUGCACAACUCGUGUUUGGUAGGGAGCUCAGACUUCCAAGUGUGCCGUUUGAUACGGUAACACGGGGGUCGGAAAUGAGGGCGGAAAACGUAGAGGCGAGGUGGAGAAGGCUGAAAGAUGUACGAAGACAGGCAACGAUACACAUGAAAGACGCCGCAGAACAGCAAAAGCGCCACUAUAACUUACGGAAUUCGAAUUCAACACUACGAAAGCUUCAUUACAAAACCAACACUAAUUCAUUUACACCAUCACACUAACCAAUGUACAUCACAGUAUACAAUACACAACACUAAUACGUUGCACAACUCUACACAACAAGAAAAAUAACGACGCAAUUAAAUUCUUUUACAGCGCACAAACAAACAUGAGGCAGCGAUUCGAAGAAAGCUUAAAAAAGUUUCGGGAAACACACCAGAAAAUUAAAGCCGCUACGGACAACCAAGAACACCAGAUGCCCCAGCUAGACAACCGUGUGGCAGGCACACCCCAGCCGCAGCCAACUCCGAUCACGACGACCCCACGCCACGACGACCGGGUGGCAACCACAUCCCGAUGGCAGUCAAAAUCGCAGACUCCAACCAAACCACCGCAGCCAACUCCAAUCACGCCGACCCAUUAUGCGAUAUGGAAAACAAAUGUCGUGCCUGAUAAGGGACGAAGGGAAGACAUGGAGAGUAACCAUCUCCCGGGCCAACGUCGUCAAGAUUAGGGAGCACACCUUUUCCUAAAGGAGGGGGGAGCUGUGACGCUCCGAUACAUGCACAUAGUAGCAUACGAGAAAAACAUGAAGUACAUAGUAGCAUAAGAGAAAAACAUGAAGUAAACAUAUUUAGUUAGAACCUAUUUUAUGUUUGAACGGAAAAACAUGAAGUAAAUAUAUUUAAUUAAAACAUAUAAACAUGGAAUCAAAUUAUGAAGUAAAACGCACAACCCGCAUUCGAGUUCAAACACAAUGCGCGCGCGCGCCAAGAUCACGCGCGAAGGGUCACACUGGCCCAACAUAGAUCGGCCACACUAAUACAGCAUUAAAUCGGUUGGGAUAUGCGGGCACACUAUCCGCUGCCAAACCGCUAUAUAAGGCGCACCCCAGCCCUCUAGAAGUCAUUCAGUUCGGCCGGCGAUCGGCAAAAAGACCUCCAGGAAGAGGAGCUACCAGGAGCAGGAUCAGAGGCAGUGGGGAAAUUAUCGGCGACGUGACGCGACGACCGAGUAAGCGGCCAUCUCGGGAGUCCAGCACCCACCCGUAUCCAUCGCAGAGCUAUACAACCCCUCCAGGGACGAGACCAGGCACGCCCGAAUAAAGACCCAAUUAUUGUAUCAUUCUCUCGUCUUAUCCUCUGGGACCCGGGUCGGAUUCUCUUCCAACAACCCCACCUGAAUCAAAUAAAUAUCUGAGACGACUCCUGGCCAUCCUUGAGCCAUCCGAGCACUGACAAAUCGUCCCAUAAUAUUAUUAAAUAUCAAUUUAGGCAGGCGCACUAACAACCAUACGCGACUCUCUCUUCCGCGAGAAGUCAUUUUCCAAAAUAAUUUUAAAGGUGUGUAUAAGACUAAAAAAAAAUUGUAGCAUCUCAAAUAGAUUGCGAGAUAUUAAUUUAUGCCAAAAAAACAUGUCCAAUUCCUCAUAGUGUACCAGCCCUUCAUCGAGUUCUUCGGCCUCCUGAGGACAUGAGGAGUCGCAGAACCCGGGCCCAAACACAAGUGGGCCGUGGUCAAUCGCUCCACCCUAGACUGCAAUGAUGUGGAGCGGCAGGUCCCUCAGGUCCCGCAGGUCCACUGUCACAACAUCGUAAUAGAGUUGUAUGUCAGUGAGGAAAGUGGGGAAUUCAUCGCCGAACGAUGCCUUAAACUACGUUACUGCUCCUGGCAACUUCGAUUCAGUUUUGAUUGCUAGGACGUUUUUGGGUUUUGAACAGCCCAACGUUAAGAGUAACAGCUGUAAAGUCGGGUAUUGCAAACAUAAAGCACGUGCCAUCGGGGAGCUGCGAUUUUUAGUGCUUAUUAAAACGGAUAUUUCUUCAACCACAAGGCCUAAAUCCAUUAAAUUUUAAAUGAAAACUCA